CACUGUAUAGUUCAGUGGUCAGAGCGCUGCAUAGGAAUCGCAGUGCCAAAGGUUCAAUUCCUACCACAGUGC